UUGGUUAAUUAUUUUUUUAAAUCAUAAUUAUGUAAAAAUAUUAUUAAAAUUCAUCCACACUGAUUCAUGAUAACUAAUUGAUUUUAAACUUCAGAUUCUGUCAAGGAAUUGAAAGAUCCUAACUUGCGUUAUCGGAUUCCAAAAAUAACAAAUUAUUCUUCGCCUUGUACCUCCUCAUCGGAAAAUGAAGAAGUAGGUGUUCUAAAGGCUAAACUAGUUAGAAAAAAUAAGAAACGAAAUUUGGUAUCAUCAAGAAAAAGUAGGGUUGACGAGAUCCUAAAUGCUCACCAAAAGGGUAGUUUAGUUAGAAAUAAGGGAAACAAAGAUUCAGUCGAUAAUGACGAGGAUAAAAAGAACGAAGAAGAAAAAGAAAACGAUGAUGAUACAUAUGACGAAGAGCUUGAAUUUGAAUUGAGAAAUAAUGAAACGAAUAGAGAAAAUUUAACAACAAUUCAAAAUUCUAAUCUGCCAAGGACUGCUCACAAUAGUAAAUUUAAUAUGCAAGCUGGAUCAAGUAAGGUAUAAAAGGUUUAUUAAUAUAUG